CCAACAUUUAUAAAUUAUUCAUUUGACUAUUUCUAUAACAAUACAUAUACUAACAACAAAUCAUAAAGAGCUUGUAUCCUCCUAUAGUUACAAUAUUUUUUUUCUAGACAAUUUUUUUUUAAUUGUUGGCAGUAUCACAUAUAUAUUGUAAGAUCAUCCAAAAUACUAAAUUCACCCAACCAAAAACCAUAAUUAUCCACAAUUGGAACUCCCAAUUUAUGUGAAUAUUUUACUUCUUGAUUUUCUGAAAUUUUCACCCAAG
rnacentral:lncRNA from 1 species